ACAGGGGACGCAGUAAUAGCCUUGAGCAUAGGGGCUUGCGCAAAGGGGGCUGAGACAGAUUCAUGGAUGGGCGACUAGUUUUGGUGAGUAAAGAGAACCUCCCCAACCAGAGACAGUAGACCUCUGAAUCCCAGUGCUGGGAGGCGGCAUCGGGGGAAGGCCUCGGCCUCUAUGCCCUGUUUAUUGGCCCUUCGGGGCAACUGGUUGGGUGCUGUGUGCAGCAGGAGGGUGGCUUCAAAGUACCGCCGGUCUGACUGACCCAGCAAGGCGCUUCUGAUAUUCGGACCGGAGGAGGACCGGCGUCGUUCCCAGCGUGCAUGUGCGGACGGUGACUCGGGGCUGCUUCUCACCUCUUCCAGGAUUGGGCGGGGAAUCGCCCAUGAAGGCAGCGGCAAAGCGCAGCCCUUCCGCGCAAGUCAGGCGCGCCGAAUCCAAAGGCGACCGGCCCCGAGAGCUUCGGCCCUGCCAGGAGCUCCGGCGAUCCCCGCUGGCCACACGAGCCCUCGGUCGGGAGCCCUCCAAGGAUCUGGACAGCGCCUCACGCGCUCGCAGGCAGGGCACGGGGGGCGUGGCCCCGGAGAGGCGGGGCUUUCCUUCCGGCAGCGGCGGCAGCGGCUUCGGCUCUGAGGCGGCCACAGCGAGCGGCGGGUUGAGCAUGAACCGGUUCAAAGUGUCCAAGUUCCGGCGCGCCGAGGCCAAAGCGGCCCGCAAGGAGGCCUGGAUCAGAGGCAUCUGUGGUAGCUCUCCUGCCACUUCCAGCAACCACAUCAAGACCAACUGCCGCUGGAUUGCAUUCAACACAGACUCUGCAGGUGUACUGGGCAUUGUGCCACUGGUGAGCCAGGAUGGGGGCGAGAGGGCUGUUUCUCAGCUGCGUUGUCACUCAGGUGUCGUGACAGAUUUUGACUUCUCUCCCUUUGAUGAGCAGGUGUUGGCCACGUGCUCCACCGAGGAAGUUGUAAAAGUUUGGCGUCUCCUUGAUUCCAGUCGAGAUCUCUCCUCUUCCCCCAGUGUGACCCUAGGACCAGAGGGCAGCCAGGUGGGCACGGUCCUCUUCCACCCCACAGCAGAUGCUAUCCUAGCCAGUGGGGCUCAGAGGACAGUGAAAGUUUGGGACGUGGAGCAGCAACAACCUCUGACAGAGCUGGAGCCUCACGAUGACCUGCUCCAGAGCCUGGCUUGGAGUCCGGAUGGUGGUCUCUUGGGAAGUUCCUGCAAGGAUAAAAAGCUGCGGAUCUUUGACCCUCGAGCUCAGCGUGCAGCCUGUCAGAGUGUCCUGGCUCACGAGAACGGCAGAGACUCCAGGCUGAUCUGGGUGAACUCUAGAGGCUGCCUCCUCUCUGUUGGGUUCAACCAGGUGCGAGAACGUGAGCUGCGGCUUUGGGACACGCGGGCCUUCACAUGCUCUCUGGCUUCUAUCACCCUAGACGCAUCCCCCAGGGCCUUGAUCCCACUCUGUGAUCUCGACACUGGUCUUCUGGUGCUGAUGGGGAAAGGAGAGGAUGUGCUUUUCUGCUAUGAGGUGCAGCCCAGCCAGCCAGCGCUGACGGAAGUCAACCAGUGUCGGACUGGGAGCAAGGCCCAUGGGAUCGCCCAGGUGCCCAAGCCAGCCCUGGAUGUCCUGGCGUGUGAAGUGAUGCGGGUCCUGCAGCUCACAGACAAUGCCAUUGUGCCCAUCAGCUACACGGUGCCUCGGAAGUCCACACAGGAGUUCCAUGAAGACUUGUUCCCCAGUUGCCCUGGAAUCAUCCCUGCGGCGUCUGCUCGAGCCUGGUGGGCAGGAGACAACAGCCAGGUUCAGAGGAUCAGCCUCCACCCUGCCCACAAACCCAGCCAAGCCUUUACCUCCACCUGUAUCCUGAGCUUCCGCCCAGAAGGUGAGGCCCCAGACACCACCCAGCUGGAGGAGCAAACCGAGGAUCUGGAAAUCAGUGCGGGCAGCAGCUUGUCCUCUCCCACCAGCUCCCUGACGUCCCCCUCAAGUGCGGCGGCGUCCCUCUCUGCCACCAGUGGCUUUGCCUCGAGUCCCAGUCAGAGGUCGCUGCAGAGCAUUUUGGGCCCCAGCUCCAGCUUCCGCCACAUCCAGGGCACCGUCUUGCACCGCAGCACCCACAUCACCAACCUCAAGGGGCUGAACCUCACCACACCGGGCGAAUGUGAUGGCUUCUGUGCUAACCGACGACACGUUGCCGUCCCGUUGCUGUCCGCAGGAGGGCAGGUGGCCAUCUUGGAGCUGUCCAAGCCAGGCCGCCUGCCUGAUGCUUCCUUGCCCGCCAUUGAGAACGGGGCCCCAGUCUCAGAUCUGUCCUGGGACCCCUUUGAUCUGGAGCGCUUGGCCAUUGCUGGCGAAGAUGCCAAGAUCCGCCUAUGGAGGGUCAAGCCAGAGGGAUUGCAGAAGAGCUUGCUAGAGCCUGAGACUGUGCUGCGAGGUCACACAGAGAAGAUUUACUCCAUCAAGUUCCACCCCCUUGCCACAGACAUCUUGGCCUCUUCCUCCUAUGACCUGAGUGUUCGGAUCUGGGAUGUGCACUCCGGAAGACAGGCACUACUUCUGAAUGGACACAGAGACCAGAUCUUCAGCCUGGCCUGGAGCCCAAAUGGACGCUUCCUGGCCACAGCCUGCAAGGAUGGCAAAGUGCGGGUCUAUGAGCCCCGGCAAGCUUCACAGCCGCUGCAGGAAGGCCCAGGCCCUGAGGGAGGUCGGGGGGCCCGCAUCAUCUGGGUGUGCGGAGGAAAAUACCUGCUUGUGUCAGGCUUUGAUGGCCACAGCGAGCGCCAGCUGUCUCUGUACCAGGCGGAGCUCCUGGCAGAUGGGCCUGUGGCUGUUGUCAGCCUUGAUGUCUCUCCCUCCACCCUCAUCCCCUUUUAUGAUGUGGAUACGGGUUUGGUCUUCCUCACAGGCAAGGGUGACACGCGAGUAUUCAUGUACGAAAUCAUCCCAGAGGCACCCUACUUUCUGGAAUGCAACAGCUUCUUCUCCAAUGAGCCCCACAAGGGCUUCCAGUUCCUGCCCAAAUCGGAGUGUGAUGUGCAUGAGGUCGAGAUUGCCCGGGCCCUGCGUCUCAGGCAGAGCUCCCUUGAGCCAAUAGCCUUCCGCGUACCCAGGAUUAAGAAAGAAUUCUUCCAGGAUGACCUUUACCCAGCCACAGAGGUAUGGUGGGAACCUGCCUUAUCUGCCACUGCCUGGCUGGGGGGCUCCGAUGGGCAACACCGCAAGAUCAGCCUUCAACCCAAAGCUAUGAUCCCGGUGAGCAAAGCCCCAAAGGACAUUCCCAGCAGAAAAUACAUCCCAUCCUCUGUCUACCUGGAAGAAAAGUCUGAUGAGCAGAAGAAAGAGGAGUUGCUCAAUGCUAUGGUGGCCAAGCUGGGCAACCGAGAGGACCCCCUCCCACAAGACUCCUUUGAAGGCGUGGAUGAAGAGGAGUGGGACUAACCAGGCAAGCUGCAAUGGAAACCACAAACUGCCUUUCCGCCUGGAAAACCCCCUACUCCCAUCCCCCACACUGGCCUUGCAGCUGGAGACUGACCCAGCUGCCGCUGAUGAACUGGACCUCGUCUCUGCUCAGUCGCUCUUUCAGCAGGAAAGCUAGAGGCCUGGCUUCCCCACCACCGUCCCUAGGGACUACGUGCUGCCUUCAGUGAUGCCAAGUUCCUGCCCCUCCAGGCUCUGCUUUGCUGCCAUGCUGGGCAGGGAUCCAGCCUGCUCACCACCAGGACAGCUGCUUGGGUACCUUGCUUCUGUCUUGGGUCACAGGUUUACAUGUAGGGCUAGCCUUAGCGAGGCUGCAGCUGGCCUGCCCCUCCCCCCAGCACUAUGCUGAGGAACUGUGGGGCUGUGUGUGGUCACUUCUCUUGUACCAACCCAGAGUGGGUCUGUUGGAAGGCUGAGCACAUGGCUGGAAGGCUGGGCUUCUUGGGCCUGAUGCCCCCUGCUCGCUCCCUCUCUGUUUGCUACCAUGCUCUGGCUGCAUGUGCCCCUGGGCCUGUCUCCUUAUGCCUGCAGGGCUGCCUCCCCCAACCAUGCCUUGGGCCCUGGGAAGCCUGCUGCCCUGCUUUGCUCAUUCAGCAGCAGAAGCAGCUCCUUUCUGGUCCACAGGGCUCUCACGGGGCAGCCAGCCUGGGAAAGGGCUCGUGUCUUGCUGCCUCCUUUUUGGCUGUUUCAGCAUAACUCUGUAUCUGGCAACAACAUGAACAAACUGCUCCCAGGCUCUCUCAGCUCUCUUGUGUCUCUUUUGUUUCAAGCACAAUCUUUGGUCAAGGGAAGCUUCCUCUGGCUUGACCAGCAGCACAGAAAGCCCCUCUCGUGACCCCUGCCUCACAAAGCCCACCCUGCCACCCUCCUCCAGGACCCCAGAGGUGCCUUGCCCACCAUGCCCACAUUGCCCCCUUCCAUGCCUUGAGGAGCCCCCCCAGAGCACACUGCCUGGGGCCGGCUUGCCAGCUUCCGCCCUGCCUCUGUCCAUUGCUGCAAAACUUUCCCCAUCACUGCUGCUCCACGCCAGGAAAAGCUUCACAUGCUUAAUUGCAGUUUGCCAAGGGCUUCAUAAGAUGCUCCUCCAUCAUGGAACAGGGCCCCCAGGAUCUGUCCACUGAGGGAGCUUUGGAGCACCACCGGCUUGUCCACUGGUAGCGCUGCCCAGGGUGGGAAAGCACAUCAUCCUGCUUACAAGCUCCAAAGCCGCCCUGGGGUGCAACCUGGCCCUCUGGAGAGCAGAGCCAAGGCACUCUCUGGAAGGUGAUGUGGCCCUAGUUCGGUGCGGUGGGGGGAGGGAUGAACUCUGCCCAGGCAGUGGGGGCUGACAACACACAUGAGCCAUGUACAUAGAAGGCAGGCAAGAGUCACCAGCACCACUACCCCCUUGGCUCCUGCAGCCAGAUAGAGCCAGCUGGGCCGGGAGGGGUCUGGCUUUGCAGGUGCCGUUGUGGUGUGUCCGCAAUCUGGUCCACUUGGGGGGGGGGGCUCUUUAUGGGGAGCAACGGCCCCAUUAGCGGCACUGACGUGAGUUAAUAGGAUUAGUGUCACGCUUGCCCAGAGCAGCCAUCCGUCGGAGCAGACCAGCCCCAUCGGACUGGGGGUGCCGUCUCCACCCCGCUCUGCCUGUUGUCCAGGGACAAACCCCGUUCGGUUGUACUGGGAGGUGGUCUUGCUCCACCGUGAGAGGCUACCUUUCCCACCGCCGGGAACCUUCCGAUCUCUACCGAAGACUGGCUCGCCCACUCCGCGACGGUUUCGAGCGAGGCUGCGGAGAGGUCGGCGCCGCCACGGAAGGAAGGGGGCGCGGCGGCUGCCCAAAGCGGCUCCGCAGACGGCGACCCGGCCCUGUGUGGGAGCGCCGCCGCCACAGAACUGCUUCCCGGCAGCCAGGGGGUGCUACUCGGCUUCGCGUCGCUCCCGGGCUACUUCCGGCCCCUCCGCUCUGCGCCGCCUCCAUGGUGUCCUCCGUACCCGGCUGCUACGCGUGCCUCCUCGGGCCCCAUCACUCGCUGGCUGGCUGAAGAUAUGCCAGCCAAGCUGCAGCAGGUGCCCGACAGCACUCAGGACCUCAGACUGCAGCAGCCUCCAGCAUCUCUGGGAUCAGCCUCC